rnacentral:snRNA from 1 species
AAGCACCCCUGGGUUCUGUGAUACCAAAAUUCAUAAGGAAGAUAAACACGGCUCCUGUGCAAAGAUGACAUGCAAUUUGCAAAGUGUUCCAUAUUUUU